rnacentral:rRNA from 1 species
UACGGGGGGAGCAAGCGUUGCUCGGAAUCACUGGGCGUAAAGGGCGCGUAGGCGGACCACCAAGUCCGGGGUGAAAUCUUUCGGCUCAACCGGAAAAUAGCCUCGGAGACUGGCGGUCUGGAGGGGGGUAGGGGCAGCUGGAACUUCCGGUGGAGCGGUGAAAUGCGUUGAUAUCGGAAGGAACGCCGGUGGCGAAAGCGAGCUGCUGGACCUUUUCUGACGCUGAGGCGCGAAAGCCAGGGGAGCAAACGGG